rnacentral:rRNA from 1 species
UACGUAGGUGGCAAGCGUUGUCCGGAUUUACUGGGCGUAAAGAGCGCGCAGGCGGUCGUCCAAGUCGCGUGUGAAAGCCCCGGGCUCAACCUGGGAAUGGCAGUGGAUACUGGCAAGCUAGAGUGCGGUAGAGGGUAGUGGAAUUCCCGGUGUAGCGGUGAAAUGCGUAGAGAUCGGGAGGAACACCAGUGGCGAAGGCGGCUACCUGGACCAGCACUGACACUCAGGCACGAAAGCGUGGGGAGCAAACAGG